rnacentral:tRNA from 1 species
GCACUGGUGAUUCAGUGGUAGCAUUUUCGCCUUCCAUGCAGGAGACCUCAGUUCGAUUCCCAGCCAAUGCA